AAAAAAGGAAGUUGGAAGUUGUUGACUCAGGAAAGGACAUGACUUCAUUGGCACGAUUCACGUGAGAGUUAGCUGUGUUCCAUUACAUUUUUCAAGACAUUGGAAUCGUCCUGUUGGAAUAUUAUUGAAGUUUUCUGUUAAAAAGGCCCUAAAGAUUGAUGCUAUACAUCGUUUGACAUGUUUCUACGAACGUAAAUAUAACUUUUUUUGACAUUUCGUCUUUAAAUUUAACGCGCUUCCUACAUUUGGAGUAGCUUACUGAACGCGUAAACAACAAGGAGGUAUUUGGACAUAAAUUAUGGACUUUAUCGAACAAAACAACAUUUAUUGUGGACCUAGGAUUCCUGGGAGUGGAUUCUGAUGAAGAUCAUCAAAGGGCUCGGACAUUGUUCCACAAGGAUGAAUGACUCUUCAGGAAAUGACACUGACCUUGACCACCUGGAUCUUGCUUGCUUGGACCAGGCCUUUGUUGUGAUAUGGCUGAUUUUUGCUGUGCAGGCCCUGUGCUUCCUCCUGGGGACGCCAGCUCUGGUCUGGUGCCUUUGGCUCUCUCUGAGUGGAAGUCUCUCUGGAGGUCUUAAACCCACUCAGGUCUUUCCUAUUAACCUGUUUGCAGUGGAGCUGAUGUUCUGUGUCCAGGUUCUCCUUAACGUGGUCAACUACCUCAUCCAGAAUGACAUGUUCCUGCAGGCUGUGUAUUUCCUCUAUGACCUCUCCUGGACCUGCAGGCCCCUGAUCCAGAGCUGCAUCUGUGUGGAGCACUACCUGGCGGUGGCCCAACCUGUGGCUUUCCUCAAGUACAGAUUCCGGAGGUACAGGGUGGCAUGUUCAACCAUGGUCUGGGUGUUGUCCCUCACUUAUGCCUGUUUUGGUAUGCUUUUAAUGAGUUCUAAGGAAAAAGCAGAUUAUGUGCUCAUUGGUGUCUAUUGCCUUGGGAUGGCCGUCAUUUCUCUCUGCUACUUCUUCAUACUGCGUGUGCUGAAGCAGCCUGGUCCAGGAGAGGUAGAGGGGGGCAGAGGGGGAGAGAAGAAACAGG
rnacentral:lncRNA from 1 species